rnacentral:rRNA from 1 species
AUGCAAGUCGAGGGGUAACAGGAAAGCUUGCUUUUGCUGACGACCGGCGCACGGGUGCGUAACGCGUAUGCAACCUACCUCAUACUGGAGGAUAGCCCCUGGAAACGGGGAUUAAUACUCCAUAGUAUCACGAAUUCGCAUGUUUUUGUGAUUAAAGUUUUUCGGUAUGAGAUGGGCAUGCGUCCCAUUAGCUUGUUGGUGAGGUAACGGCUCACCAAGGCAACGAUGGGUAGGGGGCCUGAGAGGGUGGUCCCCCACACUGGUACUGAGACACGGACCAGACUCCUACGGGAGGCAGCAGUGAGGAAUAUUGGUCAAUGGAGGCAACUCUGAACCAGCCAUGCCGCGUGAAGGAUGACGGCCCUAUGGGUUGUAAACUUCUUUUAUAGAGGAAGAAACUUGUCUACGUGUAGACAACUGACGGUACUCUACGAAUAAGGAUCGGCUAACUCCGUGCCAGCAGCCGCGGUAAUACGGAGGAUCCAAGCGUUAUCCGGAUUCAUUGGGUUUAAAGGGUCCGCAGGCGGGUCUUUAAGUCAGUGGUGAAAGCCGACAGCUCAACUGUCGAACUGCCAUUGAUACUGGAGACCUUGAGUACAAAUGAAGUAGGCGGAAUGAGUCAUGUAGCGGUGAAAUGCAUAGAUAUGACUCAGAACACCGAUUGCGAAGGCAGCUUACUAACAUGUAACUGACGCUGAGGGACGAAAGCGUGGGGAGCGAACAGGAUUAGAUACCCUGGUAGUCCACGCCGUAAACGAUCAUCACUCGCUGUUGGCGAUAUACUGUCAGCGGCCAAGCGAAAGUAUUAAGUGAUGCACCUGGGGAGUACGCCGGCAACGGUGAAACUCAAAGGAAUUGACGGGGGCCCGCACAAGCGGUGGAGCAUGUGGUUUAAUUCGAUGAUACGCGAGGAACCUUACCAGGGCUUAAAUGUAGUAUGACCGGCUUGGAAACAGGCCUUCUCUU